CACCAGGCAGUCAGGCAGGAAGGAAUGUUGGUCAGUGGUAUGGGCUGCUCAUCAUCUUGGUAUAUUUAAACACAUGAUGAAUUGUGAGGCCUGGCACCAUCCGAUUCCGGACUGCUCUGAAACAUGCUGUUCUGUGCUGGAACUCGGCAUAUCGUCUCCAGGCAUUACAUUGAAGAAACGGGUACAUUUUCAGAUGAAGAAUAUCAAGUUUUUUUUCCUACAGAAAUAAAAUAUUUUGCCUUGAAUUGUAUUUAGAAGCUAAUAUAUUUUGUUUGAGUUUUUCCAUUAUGAAGUGUCAUUGUGUAGACUGGAAAUCACACAUGAAAAUCGCCGUGGCCAGUAAUUUUCCACUUUAUUAUUAAAUAUGAAUCUGGCCCAAUCAAGCUCUGUAUGCUACUUCCUUCUGUUUCAAAUAUAAAGGACUUUUUUCUAUAUGAAAGUUGUGAAUAAUGUGGAAAUAUUUACUUAUUUUUAAUCUUGGACUGGUUGCACAUGGUGUUUCCCUUAUCCCAUUUUAACUGCAGUUUGCGAUGGUAUAUUCCAACGUAGCAGUGAACACCACUAUCCUCAGUCAAUGG